AUUGUGUGUGAGCUGUGCAUGCUCCAUGCUGGGGCUCUGGGCAGAGGUGAUUUCUGCAAUCCUACCUGGAAGCCUUUCCAGAACAAUUGUCUCCAGGAAAGUGAGUGUCAGCCUUCCCAAGGAGAGCCUCUGAAUUACAGUUACAGAGUCGAAAGGAUUUUAUUUUUAGUAAAGUAAAGGUUGCUCUUAGCUGUCAUACCAUAAAUGCUUCAAAUAACCUGGGGAUAUGAAAAACAUCUUUAUCUGUGGUACCUUUUCCUUUGCCUGCCCCUCACCAGGCUCCUCUGGAGUCUUGCUGCUCUCAGCCUCUGCAGUUAUCUUUCAGAUUAUUACAAAAUUUAUUUCAAAUAAUUGCAAAAACAUUUUUACUCCCUUUUUUUUGCUCUCACUCCCUGUUUCUUUGGACUGUGUGUGAGCAUGUCUGCACAUCCCUAGGAGCUGACUUUGUGUACUGCCUUCAUGUUUCUGGGGCAGACUUCCUGUGGUUUUUUCUCCAGGGAAGACAAAUUUUAAUUCCUUCAUGUGAAGGAAGGGUAAAAAUAGUUCUGCUAGCAGGCACAAGUGGAGAAAAUUGUCACUAUGACCAUGUCAUACAAUCAUAGAUUGUCUCAGCUGGAGUGACCCCUGAGGAUCAGUGAGUCCCAGGGAUGUGAAGCUGCCUCUGUGCCCUGUUGGAAGGGGCAGCUGGGUGUUGCUCUGUCCCUCCCCAUGUCCUGCUGGUCCCUCGUGGUGCUGGGUGGCCCCUGCAGGUUGCUCUCCGUUGUUCCCACAGCGAUGAGGCGUGCACCUGUGGGCAGCUGGUGGUGGCGAGCAGGGAGAGCCAGUACAAGAUCUUCCAUUUUCACCACGGGGGCCUGGAUAAACUGUGCGAGGUGUUCCAGCAGUGGAAGUACUGCACAGAGACCCAGCUCAAGGAGCAGCAGCUCGCAGAUGAGAAAACCUGCAUGCAGUUCUCCAUCCGCCGGCCCAAGCUGCCCUCCUCAGAGACACACCCCGAGGAGAACUGCCAGCAGCGCCUGGACGUGGCAGCCUGGCUGCAGCACCUCAACGAGGCCGGCCAGGUGGAGGAGGAGUACAGGCUCAGGAAGGUGAGUGCAGGCUCAGGAAGGUGAGUGCAGGCUCAGGAAGGUGAGUGCAGGCUCAGGAAGGUGAGUGCAGGCUCAGGAAGGUGAGUGCAGGCUCAGAAAAGUGAGUACAGGCUCAGGAAGGU
rnacentral:lncRNA from 1 species